GACGAACGCUGGCGGCGUGCCUAAUACAUGCAAGUAGAACGCUGAAAUAAGAGCUUGCUCUUAUGGAUGAGUUGCGAACGGGUGAGUAACACGUGGGGAACCUACCUUCUAGCGGGGGAUAACACAUAGAAAUGUGUGCUAAUACCGCAUAACAAUGAUUGAUGCAUAUCGAUUAUUUGAAAGGCGCAAUUGCGUCACUAGAAGAUGGCCCCGCGGUGCAUUAGCUAGUUGGUGAGGUAACGGCUCACCAAGGCAAUGAAGCAUAGCCGACCUGAGAGGGUGAUCGGCCACACUGGGACUGAGACACGGCCCAGACUCCUACGGGAGGCAGCAGUAGGGAAUCUUCGGCAAUGGACGCAAGUCUGACCGAGCAACGCCGCGUGAGUGAAGAAGGUUUUCGGAUCGUAAAACUCUGUUGUAAGAGAAGAACGUUGAUGAGAGUGGAAAGUUCAUCAAGUGACGGUAUCUUACCAGAAAGCCACGGCUAACUACGUGCCAGCAGCCGCCGCGG
rnacentral:rRNA from 1 species